UCUCUCAAAAGCGUCAACAACAUGGCGGAAAGGGACGCAGAAGUUACGUUCAAGAAGGAGACGGUGGGCAAACUUCUGUCCAGCUUCUUCAAGGAGGACAAAAGCAGAUUAAGUGUUGAGGCCACACUGCUCAUGGCGGAGAUGCUGAAAAUAUUCGUCCAAGAGGCAGCCGUGCGCUCGCAGAAACAAGCCGAAAGCGAGGACUGCGACCGAGUGGACAUUGAGCACUUUGAAAAGAUCCUGCCGCAGCUGCUGCUGGACUUCUAGCUGCCACAAGAUGGAGCCAGAUUGUUUCAUGACUGAAGACUGCGAUGCAUUAGCGCUGGGGAGACAAGAGGCCCCCCCCACCACCUCACCGACCCUCCUCGUGGGCACGCCGCCGUCGGACCGCGGCGGAACGCAUUCCACAACAGUCGCCUGAGAGCUCGCGUGCGUGAAGGGAAUGCGCAUCUAUCGGCUGUGACACACGGGGGGUGUUGGGGGCGUCGCCCGGAGGCCCGCGGGGCCCCCUCCGAGGGGUCCUGAGCUAGCUGAUCGGAACAUACCCGCCAGCUUCUGGCAUCACCGCUAACUGCUUAUGGCGCUUAGCUGUUAGUCGGAGGCUGGAGAUGGCGCUCCGCUGUGCCGGCUUUGCUCGCCGCGGGUGGCGGAAAAGGAUUCUUCCGGAACCGGCGAUCGGGAGGAAAAAGGCCUCAUAACCAACCCCACACCAGAGGACAAUCACUCAGGAUAAUCAUUUGAGACCUCCGACAACUGGGCCUUUGCAGACGUGGAUCUCCAGCAGGGUAAAUUGUCCAAAUUUGGCAGAUUUUCAGCGUUUGUGUACAUAGUGCUUUAUGAAUAUACGCUAAUUUAUGCCUUUGUUUCAAAGUGCACACUUGAAUUCACCAGACAGACUUCAUGUGCCUCGCCGGGUGCUGCUGUUUUGGUUAGUAGCAGAGUUCAAAUGCCCUCAGUAGUUAACUAAUGUCCACACAUGAACAAUAGCGUCUAUGUACUGAGAUAAUUACAGUAACCAAGGGACUAAGUAACCAACUGGCCGACCCACCGAUCAACUACUUAAUAACCGACCAUCUGAACAACCACCUGACUUAGUCCCUCAAAAAUGCGGAUCGUACUUUUCAGCAUCCAAACCUACCAAUUAUUUUUCAGUCUAUUGAAUUUAUGAGCUGUCAGAGGGCGGUCGGAGUGUAAAGUGUAGCUUCCUAUCUUGGAGUUGGAAGGGCAAACAAGCUUGUCUGAAGUUCCUUCUUCACAACAUGUUGACUGUCUGUCCUCAAAGCGGUCAAGAAAGGGCGGGGGUCGUCGCCGGAACUCUAAAUUAGCCGUGGUGAGUCAACAGGACAGCUUUCAUGCAGGAGAGGUCAGGAUGUAAGAGUUCAUAGGUCAGGAUGCAGUUUUGGUCCUUUGUCUUUUAACAGCUUCCUGUGUGCCGCGUUGCGCUAAUCACUCACUCAAGACUUUUACCCUCAACGUUUUGGGGGAAGUCCAAAUUUGACCAGCUUUUUGGGAGUAAUGUUGAAAUAUGUUUUGGUGUGUCGCGACUGCGCAGCAGAGGUCAACUCUUCACACUCCCUUCGCUAACCGACUUGACAAUGGCGCCGGUGUUUGUGCUCUCGUCCACACUUUGAAGGUGCACCUGUUUCUCCACGUGUCACCCAGGCCAAGACAAAGCGUCGCUGGAGGUAAGGCGACACCCUCCCGCUCAGCGCAUGGUGUUUGUUCCCAAGCAAUCUCUUGUUUUUGACAGACGAGAAAUGUGCAGAAAAUGAAUAUUAGGAAGAAAUAUCAAGAAUCGAGGCUAACCCAAACCACAAAAAAA